AGAGUUUGAUCAUGGCUCAGGACGAACGCUGGCGGCGUGCUUAACACAUGCAAGUCGAACGAUGAAGCCCUUCGGGGUGGAUUAGUGGCGAACGGGUGAGUAACACGUGGGCAAUCUGCCCUUCACUCUGGGACAAGCCCUGGAAACGGGGUCUAAUACCGGAUAACACCUGCCCGGGCAUCUGGGUGGGUUAAAAGCUCCGGCGGUGAAGGAUGAGCCCGCGGCCUAUCAGCUUGUUGGUGAGGUAGUGGCUCACCAAGGCGACGACGGGUAGCCGGCCUGAGAGGGCGACCGGCCACACUGGGACUGAGACACGGCCCAGACUCCUACGGGAGGCAGCAGUGGGGAAUAUUGCACAAUGGGCGAAAGCCUGAUGCAGCGACGCCGCGUGAGGGAUGACGGCCUUCGGGUUGUAAACCUCUUUCAGCAGGGAAGAAGCGAAAGUGACGGUACCUGCAGAAGAAGCGCCGGCUAACUACGUGCCAGCAGCCGCGGUAAUACGUAGGGCGCAAGCGUUGUCCGGAAUUAUUGGGCGUAAAGAGCUCGUAGGCGGCUUGUCACGUCGGGGUGUGAAAGCCCGGGGCUUAACCCCGGGUCUGCAUUCGAUACGGGCUAGCUAGAGUGUGGUAGGGGAGAUCGGAAUUCCUGGUGUAGCGGUGAAAUGCGCAGAUAUCAGGAGGAACACCGGUGGCGAAGGCGGAUCUCUGGGCCAUUACUGACGCUGAGGAGCGAAAGCGUGGGGAGCGAACAGGAUUAGAUACCCUAGUAGUCC
rnacentral:rRNA from 1 species